AGGAUGAACGCUGGCGGCGUGCCUAACACAUGCAAGUCGAACGUCCUGUCUCGCAAGAGGCAGGGAGUGGCGGACGGGUGAGUACCACGUGGGUCAUCUACCGUGAGGUGAGGAAUACCGGCGAGAAAUCGCCGACAAGACCGCAUAGCCUCGGUGCAAGUCGAGGAAAGCUCUCUCGAGAGAGGGAGCGCCACACGAGGAGCCUGCGCCCGAUUAGCUAGCUGGUGGAGUAAUGGUUCACCAGGGCGACGAUCGGUAGCUGGUCUGAGAGGACGAUCAGCCACACUGGGAUUGAGAACGGCCCAGACUCCUACGGGGGCAGCAGUGAGGAAUUUUCGCAAUGGGGGCAACCCUGAACGAGCAACGCCGCGUGCAGGAAGAAGGUUUUCGGAUCGUAAACUGCUUUUCUCGGGGAAGAGAACGGACGGUACCCGAGGAAUCAGCCCCGGCUAACUACGUGCCAGCAGCCGC
rnacentral:rRNA from 1 species